GAUGAACGCUGGCGGCGUGCCUAAUACAUGCAAGUCGAGCGAACAGAUGAGGAGCUUGCUCCUCUGACGUUAGCGGCGGACGGGUGAGUAACACGUGGAUAACUUACCUAUAAGACUGGGAUAACUUCGGGAAACCGGAGCUAAUACCGGAUAAUAUAUUGAACCGCAUGGUUCAAUAGUGAAAGACGGUUUUGCUGUCACUUAUAGAUGGAUCCGCGCCGCAUUAGCUAGUUGGUAAGGUAACGGCUUACCAAGGCAACGAUGCGUAGCCGACCUGAGAGGGUGAUCGGCCACACUGGAACUGAGACACGGCCCAGACUCCUACGGGAGGCAGCAGUAGGGAACCUUCCGCAAUGGGCGAAAGCCUGACGGAGCAACGCCGCGUGAGUGAUGAAGGUCUUCGGAUCGUAAAACUCUGUUAUUAGGGAAGAACAAAUGGGUAAGUAACUAUGCACGUCUUGACGGUACCUAAUCAGAAAGCCACGGCUAACUACGUG
rnacentral:rRNA from 1 species